UACGUAGGGGGCAAGCGUUGUCCGGAAUCAUUGGGCGUAAAGCGCGUGUAGGCGGUUCAGUAAGUCUGCUGUGAAAGUCCAGGGCUCAACCCUGGGAUGCCGGUGGAUACUGCUGGACUAGAGUGCGGAAGAGGAGUGUGGAAUUCCUGGUGUAGCGGUGAAAUGCGCAGAUAUCAGGAGGAACACCAAUGGCGAAGGCAGCACUCUGGGACGUGACUGACGCUGAGGAGCGAAAGCAUGGGGAGCGAACAGG
rnacentral:rRNA from 1 species